rnacentral:rRNA from 1 species
AGGACGAACGCUGGCGGCGUGCUUAACACAUGCAAGUCGAACGAGGCCCGUCCUUCGGGGCGGUGUCCUAGUGGCGAACGGGUGAGUAACACGUGGGCAACCUGCCCUCAGCUCUGGGAUAACUCCAAGAAAUUGGGGCUAAUACCGGAUAUGACUGCUGACCGCAUGGUCUGGUGGUGGAAAGAUUUAUCGGCUGAGGAUGGGCCCGCGGCCUAUCAGCUUGUUGGUGGGGUAGUGGCCCACCAAGGCGACGACGGGUA